GAAACUUCUAUAGACUGAUAUUUCUGUUCAUAUGCAUGGAGUAUAAAAUCUUGAAUUCACUGGGUGUAAGUUAUUGUUUGGAAUCAAUGUACUUUCUUGUUUUUUUUAGCUUUUUAUCAAACCUUGAAAAAAGCUUGUCACUUACAGAACUCAUCUAUUAUUUUCAUUCUUGAAAUUUAAAAAUAAUAUUAUGGAGCCACAGAAAACUAAUUUUGAACAAAAGACAUUGGAUUUAACUAAAUUAUUGUUCCUGCCUUGUAACCCUAACACAGAACCUUUCAUUCCUCCUGAGAAAUGGCGUUUUCUCAUGAAUGAAAGCACAUCUGUAUGAUGGCCUUUGUCUUAAAACCCCAGGCAAUUGAUAAAGACUUUGGCUGGCUCUGAGGUGACUCAGGGGCUACUUGAGAAGCCUGAUUGCUUCCUUCAGCAGAGGAUGUGCUAUCUUCUGUUUUGUAUAGCAGUGCUGAGGAGAAUCUCAGUUUUCUUCUCUUUGAACAAGAACUAGAAGGGAUGGUUUGGCUUUAUUCUGUUUCAGGGCUGUUUUUUUGUUUUGUUUGUGUUCUAAUAUUAUCAAAAUGUCUAAAGGGCUCUGGAUGUCCAUGAGGUUUCUAAAACUGAACAUGGCUUCUGAUUUUUAAAACUUUCUAUGCCAGAGGUUUCCUGUGGACUCAUUACUCUGAAGAGGAACAAUACAUGUCCUCCUUCUCUGAAUGCAAAGAUUCCCAGUGAAAUCCUUGGGCUCCUGAUGGGGGAAGGACUCUGGUCUCUGACCCUGUGGCACCAACCAGCACUGAGUUGGAAGUCAGUGCCUUUGAGCUGCACAGGUGAAGAAAAUGUCACAGCAGUUCCCACAGCCCUUUGCAAAAUGGUUGGAUGGAAAUUAUUCUGAAAAAAGGUGUGUUGCCCGUACUUGGCAACAUUUCCAGAUGCUCACUGCAUAUUCAAGGAAUCAUAUGGAUGGCUCCUGGCUCAGGCUAAAAACUGUUUUAUGUGGCUCAUAUGUGUUAGGCAAAUUAGUUGCAUGUAGACAUGGAGACCCUGGUUAAAGACUGUGUAAGAAAGAAUUCUUCCCAGAGAAGUCAAGGUUGACGACAGCUGUAGCAACUCUUCCUGAAGAGCCAGCUGGUCCAUGGAAUAUCAAAACAUGCUGACAACAAAUCUCCAAAAGCAGCAUUUCUGUUUGAAGGCGGUGCAUUGCACCAGAAGGGCACAAAUGCAGCAGGGAUGACAUCUCUUCUCACAUCACCAUCACCACUGCACAUCAGCACAGCCCCGUGUCACAGUAUGGAGGGAGAUCCAGGGUGGCAUUCAAUUUAAGCUCCACAUCUAUUGGCUUUCUUCUCAGCCCCUUGUGAGCAUCAUUUGCUUCAGAUACCAGAUCUACUAAUGAUUUUUUUUUUCCCUCCCCCUUGCUCACACUUUAAUUGCAGGGUAUAUGUAAUACCCUUAGGAAUAGCUAUUGCCACCUGUAUUAUUAUUUAUGCUGUGAAAACGAAGCUUGUGGCAAUAUAUUUAUUAACACGGUGCCCUGGAAUCACAUGAGUUAACAGCUUAAUCCUGUGAUUGUAAACACUUUUCUCUACAUGUUCAAGCACCAUCCAGGUUUUUUAACUUAGCAUUGGGAAACUGAGCAUGAGCAGGUCAUAAUUUUUUGAGAAAAUCUACUCUUUAGCAAAGGAAAAAAAUAAAUCUCAUAACAAAAAAGUGGUUUAUCCA
ensembl:lncRNA